GAUGAACGCUGACAGAAUGCUUAACACAUGUAAGUCGAUGGGGAAGUGGUGCUUGCACCAUGGUAACCAUGGCGGACGGGUGAGUAACGCGUAAGGAACUUGCCUGCGGGACUGGGAUAACAGCAGGAAACUGCUGAUAAUACCGGAUAAGGUCAUUAAGCUGCAUAGCUUAGUGAUGAAAGGAGACGCCUGCGGAGAGCCUUGCGUCCUAUUAGCUAGUUGGAGGGGUAACGGCCCACCAAGGCGAAGAUAGGUAGCCGGCCUGAGAGGGUGGACGGCCACAAGGGGACUGAGAUACGGCCCUUACUCCUACGGGAGGCAGCAGUGGGGAAUAUUGGACAAUGGGGGCAACCCUGAUCCAGCAAUUCUGUGUGCACGAAGACGGUUUUCGGAUUGUAAAGUGCUUUCAGCAGGGAAGAAGGAAGUGACGGUACCUGCAGAAGAAGCGACGGCUAAAUACGUG
rnacentral:rRNA from 1 species